rnacentral:rRNA from 1 species
ACGGGAGGCAGCAGUGGGGAAUAUUGGGCAAUGGGCGAAAGCCUGACCCAGCGACGCCGCGUGAAGGAAGAAGGUCUUCGGAUUGUAAACUUUUGUCAUCGGGGAAGAAGAAAGUGACGGUACCCGAUAAGAAAGCCACGGCUAACUACGUGCCAGCAGCCGCGGUAAUACGUAGGUGGCGAGCGUUAUCCGGAUUUACUGGGUGUAAAGGGUGUGUAGGCGGACCGACAAGUCAGGUGUGAAAUCCAUUGGCUUAACCAAUGAACUGCACUUGAAACUGUAGGCCUUGAGAGUCGGAGAGGUAAGCGGAAUUCCUAGUGUAGCGGUGAAAUGCGUAGAUAUUAGGAGGAACACCAGUGGCGAAGGCGGCUUACUGGACGACAACUGACGCUGAGACACGAAAGCGUGGGGAGCAAACAGGAUUAGAUACCCUGGUA